rnacentral:tRNA from 1 species
UGCCCGAUGGUGUAAUUUGGUAACACGUCUGCCUCUGGAGCAGAAGUCUCCUGGUUCGAGUCCAGGUCGGGCAG